GAUGAAGAACGCAGCGAAAUGCGAUACUUGGUGUGAAUUGCUGAAUCCCGUGAACCAUCAAGUUUUUGAACGCAAGUUGCGCCCGAAGCCAUUAGGCCGAGGGCACGCCUGCCUGGGUGUCACACAUUGUUGCCCCAAUGCCAAUCGCCUCACUUUGUAGGUAUUUGCUUGGGGUGAAUGUUGGCCUCCCGUGAGCUCUGUCUCACGGUUGGUUGGAAAUCGAGUGCAUGGUGUCGGGUGUACCAUGAUGGAUGGUGGUUGAGUGAUGCUCGAGGCCAAUCAUGGGUAACUCCACCAGAAUUGUGCUCGGUGACCCACAUCAAGUCAGGCGGGGCUACCCGCUGAGUUUAAGCAUAUCAAUAAGCGGAGGA
rnacentral:misc_RNA from 1 species